UACUACUACCACUACUAGUACUAGUACUACCUCCCUUCGAAGACCCUCCUUCGGCUCUCCGGAGUUCCGGUACCUGUUCCGUAUAAUUUUAGUAAGUCGACACGUAGUUCGCGCUCGUGAGGAGGGCUACAGGUGCAGCCUGAUCGACCUUCUGUUUUUCUCGUUCUCCCUCCUUCAACGGAGCUCGGGGUGGGGAAGGAAUAGGAAAGGAGGUUUUAAAGUGUAGCGUGCGUUGGAAGAGAGCACUGCGGCGGCGGCGGAGGAGAAGAGAGGGGGCUAAGAGGAGCGCUGACGAGGCUCGGGGAGGAGAAGGGACACAGCCGACGAGCUGCGCGGCGCGGUGGCGACGCCCUCUUCCACUUGUGCUCCUCUACGUCCCACCCACCGGAGCGGCCCUUGGUGGCCGACCGGUUCCUGGCACACCCGACCGUGAAGGGGCGCCGCGGGAGGAAGGGACUGAACCGGCAGCGGUGACGGGGGAAGGGAGUACAGCUCCGACCCGCACGUGUCUCACCCGCUCAGCUAGCGCUGCCUUGGUCUCAGUGAGCUCCGGCCCCACGCUCUACUACAGGUCGUCCGCCUCCCCACCGGUACCCUCCUCAUCGGGUGUUACUUUAGGUAAAAGAGAAACACACACACAACCUAAAGCUAGCUCCUUCCCCUACCGCACCCCUACUCCGCCACCUGUCUCCUUCUCUCGCUACGACCGACUCGCCCGCCUAGACCUAGGUUCGCCGGGGAGCACACAAACUAGACAUCUCGCCGGUCUCCUCGUCCGGUUGUAUUGUGGUUGCACCACUCGAAGGGGAGAGGCGGUAGAUGGGGUCUAGACUUGUAGUUGCUGUUAAAGCGUUCCUUCUACUCGAAGGUUUCAUGUAGUACGCGCCAUACAUGUAAGGACAGGGCUGCGGCACGGGCUGCGCGACCUGACCUCCGUAUCGCCGCGGCAGUGGUACCAGUUCGUAGUCCCGUUCACACCACGGUACCUUCCUGAUUUGUUCUAGUGCUGUCCGAGAGAAGAGUCGGAAGGACUCAUCUUUGAUUAGCCAACACUGUCUAGGGUGUUACGACCAACACCGCCCAUCCGAGUACUUGAUACGAAUAUUCAAACACUAAUUAUUACUACCCUCACUGUGCUUCCUACUGAUGGGCAAACCACUUAGUCUACUUUGUACGUUGUUUUUGUUUGACUUUUUCGUACACCAUUGUUAACUACCGAUGACUUCGCUGCAGGACGGCCACAUGUAGUCCCUGUGGACGUGGUUGCUACUGCGGAAGUUCCACGGCACCUUCACUCCAGUCCCGUACCCCUAGGCCCGUUCACGCGGUUCCUCUGGCUGCGCAGAAUGGGCGAGUACUGGGUUCGUCACUAAAAGGUAACGGAGAUCUACAUAGUAGCUGGCAGCGGUCGGAAACCAAAAUCUGCACUUGCACGUACAUCGUCAUGAAGUAUAACGAUAUAAAACUAAGACUGCUUUAUUGUAGUGCACCAUGUUAGUUCUUUCACCUUCCCCGCGUAGGAUAGAUCGUGGCGGGGUCGAAGGAGAGUCCGCCGCGUGCACCCACGCGGGGUUGGUGAUCAGACAAUCGUUUCUCUCUCCAAAACAUAUCGACCUCGAGGUGCCAUGGGAGAUAGUCUCGGCGUGUUAUUUCUUAAUAAAAGGAGCUCUAUGCAAGUGUACAAAUUCUACUCGUCGAGACGGUGACCUUAGUUUCGGAUUAUGAGACGUCCCCUGACUUUUUCUAAGCUUAAACUACCCGGAUCAUCCGAUGACCUGUUCUGUACCUCCCGGUUCUGAGUCCUUUUUAUUUUUCUGUCCUGUUCUGGCCUGCUGAGGAGACAUGUUCAUGCUGCGGCUCGAGCGAAGAAAGUUGUACUUUUCUCCACUUCUGUGGUUCCUCCGUCUCCUCGGGCAUUACCACUAUCCCCGUCGACGGCUUGUCUGAAGUUGACACCGCGGAGGCCUAGGUAGGCGUUACUGUAGGCAGAGGUAGAAGGACCUAGUCUCACUUUAUCCACCUUUGUUGCUACGGUCUGACAAGGAGUCGAUGACAGAUACCGUGUUCCAACGUAUCCGGAGAGUGUGAGAGAGGGUCUGACAAGGAGACUGUUGGCCACGUACGGUGAGAAAAGAGAAGGAAAAAGAAAGAGAUAGCUGGGCACGUACGUUAAGAGAGAGAGAAUUAAAACAUUUUUUUUGAAACUUGUUGCCGUGAGAGAGAGAAAUUUUGAACGUACGUCGUCUGAGAGAGAAAUGGACUCGAGACCGUUUGGGUGAACUGAUGUCAUGACGUACGUUCGCCGUCGCUCUCCUGACCACAGUGAUCGGAAAAGUCUGA
rnacentral:rRNA from 1 species